rnacentral:lncRNA from 1 species
CUUGUAUAGAUACGGAAGAAAAUGGCAUUGCAUUGCUUUAGUUGUAGUAAUGAUAUUACAAUUAAUCACGAGAACAUAUUCAUUUUACUGGUAUACUUUUUGCAGCUUAAGCAGAAAACAAAGAAAAGAAAAAAGGACAAAAAAGUAGCUCUCAUUUAAGUUUUGACAGCAGAAUGUGGGUUGAAACUUUGAAUCUGCAUGGCUGGGUUUAUAAGCAGCAGCAUCUCUACUGUCCACCACCUUCUCCACCGCUGCCGGAACCACUACCAACAACGCCCUUGCCAGCACCAGCACCAGCCCUACGCCAAUGCCUACUCCAACCCCAACACCAAUUCCACCUCCAUGGCCACCUCCUAAACCACCACCUCCAGCUCCACC